CUCUGCAGCGCAUUGGCCCUCCAGGGCAAGAUUUGAGGAACCUUGCCCUAGACCAACGAGCCUUAAAAAUUAUAGAUCAUAAAGCAACCAUGUCUUUAAUAGCCAUCAUUAUUUGGAUGCUUGCAACCUGCACCUGGAGUUCUGUGGGGCAGAUUCUGACUCAAUCUGAAGAUCAAACAGUGAAUCCUGAUCAAACUGUUACUAUUCACUGUAAACACACACCAGCAUUAAAAUGUGGGAAUCCAAAAAAUAGCUCUCAAUAUUGCAUGUCCUGGUACCAUCAGAUUCCUGGAGAAGCUCCUAAACUCCUGACCUAUUACACAUCACAGAGAGCUUCAGGUGUUCCUUCUAGAUUCAGUGGCAGUGAAAGUGGAAACCACAUGGAUUUUACUCUGACCAUCAGUGGAGUCCAGCCUGAAGAUUCAGGAGUUUAUUACUGUCAGAGUCAACACAGUAAGACUGGAGACUCAGAGAACCCAGAAUGGGUGUUCACACAGUGUAAAAGCAUCGUACAAAAACCUCCUCGGGUGAGACUGCAGCGCUGCAGCUUUGAACUUCUGCAGAUGUUGAUGUUGAAGAUCAUUAUUCAUCUCACUGACUCACUGUUGAUAAAGAAAAGUUCAUGACCAAAGCCAAUGAAAUGAAAAUAAAUGUCACAUUCUAGUUAAUUUUCUAGUUAAUA